AAACCAGCACCUCAAGUGGUCAGGAUGAUUAUUGGGCCUAAAGCAUCCGUAGCCUGAUCUGUAAGUUUUCGGUUAAAUCUGUACGCUCAACGUACAGGCUGCCGGGAAUACUGCAGAUCUAGGGAGUGGGAGAGGUAGACGGUACUCGGGAGGAAGUGGUAAAAUGCUUUGAUCUCUCGAUGACCACCUGUGGCGAAGGCGGUCUACCAGAACACGUCCGACGGUGAGGGAUGAAAGCUGGGGGAGCAAACCGGAUUAGAAACCCUUGUAGUCC
rnacentral:rRNA from 1 species